rnacentral:rRNA from 1 species
AUUGAACGCUGGCGGCGUGCCUAACACAUGCAAGUCGAGCGGUAACAGGUGUAGCAAUACAUGCUGACGAGCGGCGAACGGGUGAGUAAUGCUUCGGAAUCUACCCAAUGGUGGGGAAUAACCAGCCGAAAGGUUGGCUAAUACCGCAUACGUCCCACGGGAGAAAGCAGGGGAUCGCAAGACCUUGCGCCAAUGGAUGAGCCGAAGUCGGAUUAGCUAGUUGGAGGGUAACGGCCUACCAAGGCGACGAUCCGUAGCUGGUCUGAGAGGACGACCAGCCACACUGGGACUGAGACACGGCCCAGACUCCUACGGGAGGCAGCAGUGGGGAAUAUUGGACAAUGGGGGAAACCCUGAUCCAGCGACGCCGCGUGUGUGAAGAAGGCCUGCGGGUUGUAAAGCACUUUUAGU